UGGGAGACGGCGGAGAACCACACCGUGGAAGGAGGGGGGGAGGAAGGUGCAAUGCGGGUUGUGUGACCAAGAGGGGCAUAACCGAAGAACAUGCCCUAAGCGGAAUGAGGUACCGACAAGUGGUGGUGUCGCAGACUAGGAUGCUUCUUCACAUCGUCUGGAGGCUUGAGGAGUUAUGAACACCCCCUUAAUGAGGUGAAGCCUGUGCCAAGGGUGGAAAUUUCUGGUCAGGUGUGUGGUGUAACUUUCACCGUGGAUGAAGAGUCGAAGAGGGAAAAUGUCGGCAUGCCAAGAGUUGGAAGUGCUACCAACUGCUCAUCUAACUACUAAUAUUGUUAUAGUUUCCUUUUAUGGCAUGGCUAUCAUUAUUAGUGGGCCUUGCCUUUGAUCUCCUUUUUGUUAUCAUACUACUCUCAUCUUGAAAGGCUUGAAAUGCUUUUAUGGGUGCUUAGAUUUAUAUCCUUUUUAGUACUACCAAAGACAUGAUUUUAUGUUGCUGUACAUGUUGCGUAAUGUCAAACUAAGCCAGGAUCUCAAGUUUGAUACAAGAAAUAAUAUGAUUGCUCUUCAAGACUGAUCAAUGGUAGAUUUCUAUUUGAUAU